GAUGAACGCUAGCUACAGGCUUAACACAUGCAAGUCGAGGGGAAACGAUAUUGGAAGCUUGCUUCCGAUAGGCGUCGACCGGCGCACGGGUGAGUAACGCGUAUCCAACCUGCCCACCACUUGGGGAUAACCUUGCGAAAGUAAGACUAAUACCCAAUGAUAUCUCAAGAAGACAUCUGAAUGAGAUUAAAGAUUUAUCGGUGAUGGAUGGGGAUGCGUCUGAUUAGCUUGUUGGCGGGGUAACGGGCCACCAAGGCGACGAUCAGUAGGGGUUCUGGGAGGAAGGUCCCCCACAUUGGAACUGAGACACGGUCCAAACUCCGACGGGAGGCAGCAGUGAGGAAUAUUGGUCAAUGGGCGAGAGCCUGAACCAGCCAAGUAGCGUGCAGGAUGACGGCCCUAUGGGUUGUAAACUGCUUUUAUAAGGGAAUAAAGUGAGCCUCGUGAGGCUUUUUGCAUGUACCUUAUGAAUAAGGACCGGCUAAUUCCGUGCCAGCAGCCGCCGUAA
rnacentral:rRNA from 1 species